GCAGCAUAUCUACAGGCUGGGGAACUCCCUUCUUGUCAGUGCAGAGGCAGAAAAGGAUCUUGGAGCCAUUAUUGAUGCCAAAAUGAACAUGGGCCGACAGUGUGGGGACACGGUCAGGAAGGCCAACCGCACCUUGUCAUGCAUCCACAGAUGCAUCUCAAGCAGGUCCAGGAGGUGAUCCUCCCCCUCUAUGUGACACUGGUCAGGCCGCAGUUGGAGUACUGCAUCCAGUUCUGGGUGACACCAUUCAGGAGGGAUGUGGACAACAUGGAGAGGGUCCAGAGGAGGGCCACCCGCAUGAUCAGGAGUUGGCAGGGCAGGCCUUAUGAGGAGAGGCUACAAGACUUGAGCCUGUUCAGCCUCCACAAGAGAAGGCUGAGGGGGGAUCUAGUGGCCGUUUACAAACUAGUCCAGGGGGACCAACAGGCAUUGGGAGAGUCCCUGUUUCCCCGAGCACUACAAGGAGUGACUAGAAAUAACGGCCACAAGCUGGCAGAGGGUAGGUUCAGGCUAGAUAUCAGGAGGCGCUACUUCACAGUCAGGGCAGCUAGGAUCUGGAACCAACUUCCAAGAGAAGUGGUGCUGGCUCCUACCUUGGGGGUCUUUAAAAGGAGGCUGGAUGAACACCUUGCCGGGUCAUUUGACCCCAGUACUCUUUCCUGCCAUGGCAGGGGUCCGGACUUGAUGAUCUGCUCAGGUCCCUUCCGACCCUACUUUUCAUAGUUUCAUGAAACUUUGAAACAGAUAGAGAAACUAGAGCCUGGAGGGACUCCACCAGAGGGGAUACAUACAAAACAUUUGGCUGUCCAAAUCAACCAGUGCUGACAAGUUCUUCAGUGAUGCUAUCAGCCUUCUGCAAGGCAGGCUGUAGGAAUUUGCCAGAGGAGGAUUCAGGGUCACUAUACUGCAUCAGAUGUAUGGUCUGUCUAUCCCAGCAUCCUCCUCCUGACCAUGGUCAACACUAGAUACUUCAAAUUAAAAUGUGACCCCCCACAUACCUUAAACAUCACUACAGCCAUAAUCUGCAUUCAUGUGUGUAUAUACAUAUUCACAUGGGUCUAAUUUGAACCCUUACUGUUAGAGAUUGGUUAGAGUUUGGAAAUGUAGAGUUUCAGUGAUUCCUGCAGAGCUGGAGGUGGGGGACAUUGCAGGCAUGGGCACAUUCAGAGGGGGUGCAGCAGCAGUCAUACCCCACUUUGCCUGUGUACCACAUGCACAGUAAGAUCUCAGAGAUCCCACAUAGGCUGUGAGCUCCCAGCUGGUGGGUGUGGGGUUUGUCCGGAGUCCCUGUUUUCAAGUGACUGUGGAGCCCAAGCAAUGUUUGCUCUUCCUUUCUCUCCUUUCCAGCACCCUGAAUUCAGCAGCAGGGGAAAGGAGGAGAAUGUAUUUGAAAUUUAUAUCCUGGCAGCUGUGUACUAUGAUAGUAAUAGGGAAGAGUCUAGAAGGGGAUCCAAGUUCCAUCCUUUUCAAGGAGAACAAGCUCUAUUUAUAUGAGCAGAAACAAACCAACCAACUAACCAACAAACAAACUAAAGAAGGAGGUCAAGCAAGUGAACAUGCCACAUAUAAAGUUCAGGAGCUCUCAUUUCUUGGGGACAGGGAGAAAAUACAGAGUUAUACAAGAACUCUUUAAAGACUUCUGAGUGAGAAUUCAUAUCAUGGAAUCAUAGAAGGAUAUAGCAGCAGGGCUGGAAGUGACCUCCAGAUGUCUUCUAGUCCAACCCCCUCCCUGAGACAUUAUUAAUCAAGGAUGUUAUUUCCAUAAGGCUGCAGCCUUGGUUCAGCCCUCAUGUCAUUUAAGUCAUUGGGAGUUUUACUACUGGUUUCACAUUAGUGAAGGCAGAGCUAAGCUAAAGGCUAGCCCCUGAAAGAGGAGUGAAUCAGUGAUUGAAUGUGUAACAAGGUAGCAAGCAGAAAUUAACACCUGGAAGCUGCAGAUCAACGAAGGGAAGAACUCAACAGAAGACAAUGUAACAACCGGGAAAUCUCUAAACCUCACUGAUCAAGGGCUAGAAGCCCUGGCCUGAGUUAAUCAAUGCUGGGGACCAACUUUUGGGCUGAAUAUCUCCAGAUCAACUGCUCCCAGAGCCCUAUUCAAAAUUCAUCAACAGACUCCCAAACCUGCACAUACAUGCAGAUGACCCCUGGGGCUGACAGAUGCCAUCCAGUAGCCACCGAGGGGGGAAGUCCCACGAGGGCCAAUGACCCCUGGAUUGGGCAAACCUGAAAACUGGGGAGUCACCAAAGUCUGCCAAGGACCGAUAAAAGGCAGUGAAAAGUGACCCUCAGUUGCGCCCUCUUGAUCUCCAGCUCGACCAGACCUGUCCAGCCAGAAGGACCAGCUGGCGACCCCCUUCUGGAAGAUAACACCACACUGAAAGAAGCCUCAAUGACAGACUCCAGCGCUUGUAGGAUAGGUAUACCUGACUCUGUAGCCUGCUACUGUGUGUGUAUGUGUGUGCAUGUGUGCGUGUGUGGGGACCAGCUCCAAGGCUUAUGAUUACAGUGUUUCAAUCCGCCUAAUAAACUAGAAUUUUAAGGAUCCUGA